rnacentral:lncRNA from 1 species
UCUAUUCCUGCAAGCAAUCAAAGAACAAGCAAGAAUAUGAUUAAGCAAUCUGAAUAUUAUGAAUGUGGAUGAAGUAUUGAUAAAAGUGGGGUUUCAUAAGCGGUCUUGGUCUGGUCGUUGGACAUAAACGAAGUACACGAAGUUGCAGCGAUGGCUAACUUUUAACUAAAUAAAACUCAAGUCUAAACGAUGCCUUAAGGGCUAUAUUUAUAGAGAAAAGAGAGGGGAUUUUGUCCACCCUUGGCAAGGUGGGACUAAAACACCUCCUAAGUCGUUUCCCCUACAAUAUGGACUCUAAAAAUAGAUUACAUGGGUCUGGCCCAAAAUAAGGUGGCGCAACACCAAUAAUAAGCUAUGGACGAAAUUUAUGAAAGACCAUCUUGUAUAUUUCUUCCAUCUUCUUGUAUGUCAUCAUGGUGGCUUCAAAGUCCGGAAAUCUCCACUUGAACCUCCGUUCUUGUUCUCUUCGCACGCACCUUCAUCUCCGUGCUUGACCAUGCUCCAAUGCUCAACCUUCUUAUCCGUGCUAGGCCCUUCAAUUGCAAGCAACACAAAUGUAUCUAAGUUAGGCAGCAUCAUAUUCUCAUGAACACUAGAAACAUUACCAAGAAACGAAAGUACCUGAUAAUCUAAUUGGCGUAUCUGAGCUCUAGCAACUGUUCCAAGAGGUAAAACAGCAGGGGAUAUGGGUGUAACUGUGGUAGCCAUGUCCUCAUCAUCCUCCCCUUCUUGAAAACAAAGCCGUCCUCGGCGUUUCUUAAUCUGAAAUCUGGCUAACAAAAGAGACAAGGUGUACAUGUUGUAUAUGUAUAUGUCAUCCAUUUUUACUGAUCUCAGUUGGGGCACAUGUGACACAGUUAUACAAGAGCACCCUUCAAAAGUCAUGAAAUAUAAAUCCAAUAUAUUAUCACAAGAAGUCAAAGGCAUGAAAAUAUUGCAACUCAGUUUGCACAUAUAAGUGAAGCUCUUAUUCAUAUCAAAAGAUUGACAAUGCUUAUCAUUAAACCAUCCCAACAUUGAUGAACCAUCACCAAGAUUAUAGGUCAUAUCAAAGUGAUUAAACAUUGGCACAAUUAUUUUCGAACGUAUUUGAUCCAAAUCUGAUUUAUUCCAUGACUCACUUGAUUCUUUUGCAUCGAUAGUUAAUUCAAUGGGUUCACUCAAAAUUGUUUGAUCAUAUGGCAAAGUCAAAUCAUCAACAUAGUCCUCUAAAAUAGCUGGUGUGAUCAAAGUAGUGCCGCUCACCGCAUGGAGCAUUUAAAUUGACAAGACAUUCAUCAUACUCAUGUGGAGGUGGAAGAUUAGUACCUUUGUCAUUACCUCUUAUGAUCAACUCACAUGAUGUAGGCACUCUUGGUGAUGAUGUGUCACAUGGUGGAGGUGAUGUAGUCCUCACAACAACGGAUGUGGUUGUCAUAGUAUGCCUAGUAGUUGAAGGGACAACCGUAUCAACUCUUGGAAUGUGCAUCUCGCGCUUGUUCUCCUUGUGGGCAACACGUCGUUUUAUUUCCUGUUCAGCUUUGCAAGCAAGAUGAAACAAAUGGUCCAUAGGAUAACACUAUUCAUGAAUUAGUAUCUCCUGAAUGUCACGAUUUAAUCCUCCCCAAAAUUUAUCCAUAAAAUCUUCUUCACUUUCUACUAAAGAGGAAUGCAGCAGGGUAGUUUGUAAAGUAUCAUAAUAUGCGUUACGGUGUCACUACCUUGUUUUAAAUGUUGCAGCUUUUUAAUCAUGUCACGAGUAUAAUAAGCGGGAACGAAUGUAUGUCGCAUGGCAAGUUUCAGAUCAUCCCAAGUAGUAGGUAUAUCAUUAGGGUGUAACCGACAAUAUUCACUCCACCAAACUAUAGCAUAACCAGUGAAAGAACCAACCGCAACCUUAACUUUUUUACAUUCAUCAAAUUUAUUGGAAGCAAAAGUAUUAUUUAUGUCAAACUCCCAUUCAAUAUAUAAAGCGGGUCUAAAACGGCCAUUAAAUGGUGGUAUAAAAACAUUAACCUGAUCAUGUGCAUUUGGAUGUUUGUGCACCUUUCGUGACGGUUGUGGUAUUUGCAUAGGUGAUGGCACGUCUCCCACGAUCGACAAACCCCAUGAAUUGACUCUAGAUCCUGUCAUGAUUAGUAGAAACAAGAAACAAAAUCCAAAAAUAAUAUUCAUAUGAACUACUGGAUGGUAAAACACUCACAGUAUAGCAAAUCAAAGUCUUACAAGUUCUUACCAUGCAGCAGGUGGUGACCGGCAACCAGCGGUGUCAAAUAACUCCAAGAGUUGGGUAAAGCGAUUGCCAGGUGAACGUAUGUAUGCACGAUGUAGAAAUAUGUGGAGCUGGGUUGGCUUUAUAUAUGUGGGAAAAAUGCUACAACCACGUUAAUUAAUGCAAGCUGAAAAUUCGUUCAAAGUGAUUGAGUGUUGGUUCUAGGGUAGACUGUGCUAGAGACGCGAGCCUAAGACACAGACAAGUUCACGAAAAACAACUAUAAUGAGCGACGGAAUGGUGGUGUGAAAAUGGACAACCGUCUGAUCUCUGUGAAUAGCACACUUGUACGUGCAAAUAAUAGAUGAAGGGCUCACGACAAAAAAAAUAUGUCUCGGAAAUUGCAUGUCACCAAACUGCAAUGUAUAGUCCAGGGAAACAGAUUCCCAGUUGCUCUCACGUAAAAAGUUGAUGUGGCCACUUUUUUUUUGCAACAACAAUCGUGCCAAACCAGGACACAACUUCAACACGUCAAUGAAGUCCGAACAGACUAUUUGACAUGAGUGGUAAGCUAUAAAAAAAUGAAGUCCGAACAAUGUUUUCUUUCCUUUUCUUUGAAACUAUCCACGUGCACACCGAAAACAGAUCUGCAGCAAGUUUUUUUUCCUUUCCAAACGCGCAACCUUUUUUUUUGGCCGACCCUACCUUCACACGUAGAAUCUGUCAACCACCAAACCGUUUUUUUUACUGCUCCCUCUCUCUUAUCUCCACGUUUGGCUCUGCGUGCCACCAAGAUAUUCUGGUUUGAAAACAGCACGAAGAUUGGAAACUUAAACCAGUAGGAUUCCCAACGAAAAAAAAACACAACCAGCACUUUCCUUUUCUUUUAAUUUCGUUUGGAAACCCAAACUUGCCAACAAAACUGAUGUGUUCCUCCAAAAUACGUAUCUUUCCUUCCCUAAAUAUCUCUCUUAAUAUUUUUUUUAGUAAAUCUCCACGGAUCUGAUUCUCAAGACCACAAAUCCAAUCUUUCCAAACCAACUCAACCGACCAGCUUUCAAUAACUUGUUUUUUUACCAACGAAGUCUCCCCAGCCAAAAAAAAGGAACUUCUUAUUUUGGGGACCCGGCCAAUAUUUCUUUCCUUUUACUUCUGAAUUUUUUUUCAACAACCACGUGACCUGAUUGACUUGCAAAAGGAAAGAACCACGUCGGGGAUCAGGCCCCUAAAUAUGCACCAUGUUAUUUCGUGGUCAACACUUUCCAAUCUCCACAAAAUCACGAAAUUAAUUGAUGGCUUUAUAUGGAAAACUGGUACACAAAAAAAACUUCCCAAAGGCAGGAAACAAUUAGUUAUUUGGUAGCCGAACAAAACCUCCUUUUUUCUCUCUUUCCAAACGUGAUCUUGCCAAAUAAACAAACCAAUCCACACUUUCCUUCUCUCUUUGUGUGGAGAGACCAAACUGCAGUUUUUUUUUCUCCUUUCUUUUCAAUCUGGCUGAUCCACUUAUAUUUUUUUCCAAAAACCAACGUGGCUGACUAGUACUUUCCAAAUAAACCAAACAACGUGGGAGGGAAUCACGUCCCAAUCCUAACUGAUCUGCUCUUUUUUUUCCUAGCUGAUUUGGUCUCUUUCCUUUUCAACCGAUCCGAGCUUGCUCUCUUUUCUUCCAAUUUUUUAAAGGAACCGUGAGAGAUUGCAACCAACGAUGGAUGUGUGCACCUAACCUUUUUUUUGUGCUUCGGUCUCUACUUGCAAAACGAAUUUGAUCUCUCUUUUUGUAGGAUCUUUCCUCAACUUGUUCUCUCCACGAGACUAAUGAUGCUCCAAGACGGCGACGAACAACAACAAUGGAUGGAUGGUGGUGGUGGCGACAGUGGUAGCGGAAAAUGAGAAUGAGAUGAAUGAUGGUGUAUGUGGACGUGGCGUGAACAAAACGUGACUAAAACUCGAAAUUCUAAAAGUCUAACACCAAAAGCAGCAACUCGACACACGAUGCAACCAAAAAUUCAACAAUGCAAAAACUAAGUGGCAAUGGCGAAAAGGCUGAGACUGUCUGGGAUAUGAUGAACUAAUCUAACUUUUUUGUGGCUUUUCCUUGGACUCUAGGUAUGAAGAACAAAUGCGAUCUAGACUAUGAAAAACUGGAAAAAUCUCACCGAGCAACCUGAAAACUGAUACCACUUGAUAGAGGCGGGGGUGUCCCGAUCUUUCGACGAGAUGAUAACUAUCGAUUUGGUGGAGACGACUUUGACGAUCCGACGCACGACGUUGCGCCUUAGCAAUCGCUAAACCAACUCCGAGAGGUUAUUGACCACGCCGGAGCAUGAUCAACCUGACCACGAAGGUCUAUUCCUGCAAGCAAUCAAAGAACAAGCAAGAAUAUGAUUAAGCAAUCUGAAUAUUAUGAAUGUGGAUGAAGUAUUGAUAGAAGUGGGGUUUCAUAAGCGGUCUUGGUCUGGUCGUUGGACAUAAACGAAGUACACGAAGUUGCAGCGAUGGCUAACUUUUAACUAAAUAAAACCCCCAAGUCUAAACGAUGCUUUAAGGGCUAUAUUUAUAGAGAAAAGAGAGGGGAUUUUGUCCACCCUUGGCAAGGUGGGACUAAAACACCUCCUAAGUCGUUUCCCCUACAAUAUGGACUCUAAAAAUAGAUUACAUGGGUCUGGCCCAAAAUAAGGUGGCGCAACACCAAUAAUAAGCUAUGGACGAAAUUUAUGAAAGACCAUCUUGUAUAUUUCUUCCAUCUUCGUGUAUGUCAUCAUGGUGGCUUUAAGGUCCGGAAAUCUCCACUUGAACCUCCGUUCUUGUUCUCUUCGCACGCACCUUCAUCUCCGUGCUUGACCAUGCUCCAAUGCUCAACCUUCUUAUCCGUGCUAGGUCCUUCAAUUGCAAGCAACACAAAUGUAUCUAAGUUAGGCAGCAUCAUGAUGAACACUAGAAACAUUACCAAGAAACGAAAGUACCUGAUAAUCUAAUUGGCGUAUCUGAGCUCUAGCAACUGUUCCAAGAGGUAAAACAACAGGGGAUAUUGGUGUAACUGUGGUAGCCAUGUCCUCAUCAUGCGAGGUAGGCAACGAGGUCCUCCAUGGUGAGCAACCUCCGUCAACUUCGUUGCCUCAUAGGGGGGCAGGCCGCCACAGCCCUGCCGUGCCGCCUCCCACGCCGCACCGCCGUGGUGCAUCUCCACCCCCACCUCGCAUAAAACGACCACCUGUGCAACUCCUGCCCCGAGGCAGGGUCUCCGUCGGCACCUCGAUGGCACCACCUUCAACCCCCCUCCCCCUCUCCUCUGCAACCAUCGUGGAGGUUGGGUGGGACGUGAAGACGAGAAGGUUUGGGAAGAGCUGAUCUGAGGAGGGCGCCUUCUCCAGUGGCGGGCCGCCGGAGGAGCUGGGAUGCGCCGAUGGGGCGGGGCGGCGGCUGCAGCAACCCUAUCCCACCCGGGGAAGGGAGAAAGGAAAGGGGAG